CCUCCACCUCCCGGGUUCAAGCGAUUCUCCUGCCUCAGCAUCCCGAGUAGCUGGGACUACAGGAUCCCUAGCAGCAAUCCUCAAGAGCCCCAGCCGAUUGGAGAGAUGCCUCUUUGAUUCCGUCCCAGAGCUAAAGAUUGGAACAACUGUCCCUCCCGCUCUAAACCCACAGUCUGCCACAAGAACAUUUUAAACCUUCCUCCAUGAUGAGCAGCAAAACUCCCUGACUGGUCCUCCAGAUCCUUCUCAAGCACAGAAUAGAGAGAGCAUGAUGGUGAGUGAGCACACUGUCCUUCCUGCACGUCUUCAGUUCCACCACACUCUCCUAAGGGAAGGAAGAAGCCAGGCCUCAACACUGUACCUCUCUCUGGAGGCAGCAGGCACAAGUGGAAUGGAAAUGAUGGAAAAUCCUGCUUUUAUGCAAAUUGUAACUAUAAACUCAUUAUAGUCAAUAUGAACAUU